GAUGAACGCUGGCGGCGUGCCUAAUACAUGCAAGUCGAGCGAACGGACGAGAAGCUUGCUUCUCUGAUGUUAGCGGCGGACGGGUGAGUAACACGUGGAUAACCUACCUAUAAGACUGGGAUAACUUCGGGAAACCGGAGCUAAUACCGGAUAAUAUUUUGAACCGCAUGGUUCAAAAGUGAAAGACGGUCUUGCUGUCACUAUAGAUGGAUCCGCGCUGCAUUAGCUAGUUGGUAAGGUAACGGCCUACCAAGGCAACGAUGCAUAGCCGACCUGAGAGGGUGAUCGGCCACACUGGAACUGAGACACGGUCCAGACUCCUACGGGAGGCAGCAGUAGGGAAUCUUCCGCAAUGGGCGAAAGCCUGACGGAGCAACGCCGCGUGAGUGAUGAAGGUCUUCGGAUCGUAAAACUCUGUUAUUAGGGAAGAACAUAUGUGUAAGUAACUGUGCACAUCUUGACGGUACCUAAUCAGAAAGCCACGGCUAACUACGUG
rnacentral:rRNA from 1 species